UACAGAGGUCCCAAGCGUUGUUCGGAUUCACUGGGCGUAAAGGGUGCGUAGGUGGUGGGGUAAGUCGGAUGUGAAAUCUCCGAGCUCAACUCGGAAACUGCAUUGGAAACUACCCUGCUAGAGGGUCGGAGGGGGGACUGGAAUACUUGGUGUAGCAGUGAAAUGCGUAGAUAUCAAGUGGAACACCAGUGGCGAAGGCGAGUCCCUGGACGACUCCUUACACUGAGGCACGAAAGCUAGGGGAGCAAACAGG
rnacentral:rRNA from 1 species